rnacentral:misc_RNA from 1 species
GAAAGAGAGGGUGAUGAGAAAGAAAGGCCAAGUGAGAGAGUGAUAGUGGAAAGGUCGAGCAAAGAAAAGAUGGACAGCACGAGUUGAGGAGGAUUAGAAGGAAGGAUCCUCAUCUAGAGUCCGUGGGGAUGAGAAGAGUCCGAAGAAGGACCAUUGCCGUAGACGAACAUUCAUUCGGAAGUAAGAGAUCUGGUGAAGUAGGAACAAGAACAAGACCAAGAUGUGCAAGGAAAAGAAUCCAAUUCCUAGGAGCACCCAAAUGAAAAUAGUUGGUCUAAUUCAGCUGUAGAAAUAUUACGCACACAGAAUCAUAGAUUUAUCUGCUGUAUAUUCACAUUUGCAUCAUUAUGUUUAUUCUUUUUUUCAGGAUGACCAAACUUGAAUGUGGAACAUUGUAAAGGAAUGGCAUACGCAUAUAUAUGUGCAACGAACAGCUAAUCAUAUGUACAUGAAUACUUAUUGUGAGUUGGGAUUUUCUCGUCUAGUACUUUAGAAAGGAUAUUGUAUGUGUUGUGUUAGAACUAGAAUGGGCGAAGUAUGACGCUCUACCCCUUCAAGGGAUGUAGUUCACUGUAUUUGUCAAUAUUUUCCUGAUUGCUUUGUUGUGAAAAAUGGUUGGUGGCUUA